rnacentral:misc_RNA from 1 species
GAUGAAGAACGUAGCGAAAUGCGAUAAGUAAUGUGAAUUGCAGAAUUCAGUGAAUCAUCGAAUCUUUGAACGCACAUUGCGACCGCCAGUAUUCUGGCGGGCAUGCCUGUUCGAGCGUCAUUUCAACCAUCAAGCCCCCGGGCUUGUGUUGGGGACCUGCGGCUGCCGCAGGCCCUGAAAAGCAGUGGCGGGCUCGCUGUCACACCGAGCGUAGUAGCAUACAUCUCGCUCUGGGCGUGCUGCGGGUUCCGGCCGUUAAACCACCUUUUAACCCAAGGUUGACCUCGGAUCAGGUAGGAAGACCCGCUGAACUUAAGCAUAUCAAUAAGCGGAGGA